UUUGGGAUUUUGUCUGUGGCUUGCUGAUUUCACUGAAGACUCUGAAAAUAGCAUCGGGAAAGAAUUAACUGGAAACCAUGUCACUUUGGGGAAGAGGAAGGAAAAAGGAUGCAUUCUUUCAGAGAACAGGUGCAUUCAAGGGCAUCUUUUGACUGCUUAUGAGUGGAUUGCUAUCUGAUGAUCUUCAGAGGAGAAAAGCUGCUUAAGUGGAGAGAAAAAAAAUAGGAAAGAGGGGGAAAAAAAAGAUAAUGCCAUCAAGACUAAGUGCUUCACCAAUAGGAGAAUAUUCCCCUGGACUUAACAAAAGUGUUAAGAAGGGUUACCAAGUGAUGACCAAUACAGUAACUUGUUUUUCAUCAGUGAAAUAUACCAUGAGUGUAACCAUCAUGUUUAUGCAAAGGCCAAAACUGAUAAAUAGCUUGAAAUAUGUUAUCUGACAAUUUUCUGUGAGAUCUAAUACAGAGAAGAGAAGGUGAAGGACAGAUUCUACAAAUAUAUCUGGUAUCUUAUAGAUGUACGUAGCUGUAAAAGGAGAUGAUACUGCAGCAUCCUCUUCUGCCCCCCCCAUAUGUAAGAAAAGAAUGUGUACAUGAAAGAAAGCAAAACAUUGUAAACUUCUAGAAUUAUCUUCAGCCAAA